rnacentral:lncRNA from 1 species
ACGGUGAUAGCAAGUUCAGGUCUGGUGCAGCUCUGCUCAGCCCAAAACCGAGCGGGAAGGAGAAAUGAGAAGCUGGUGAAAGGCCUCACGGACAAACGUACUCUCCAGCUUCUGCACCCCGUGUUCUCCUUCUGUCGUGCUCCAGACCCUGGAGAGGAGUCAGCCUCAGUGAACCCAGUGACAUGCCCCUGGAAAUGGAGAGCUGCUCACAGAAAUGCCAACAGCCCAGUAGUGCCAGUAAGAGAGAUCCCACCAGCCAAGUGCCACUUCGAGCCUCCCAAGCAACUCAUUCCUCAGAAUGACUCCCUUCAUGCACAUGACAUGUAA